GCCCUUUUCCGGUUGAUCCUGCCGGACCCCACUGCUAUCGGGAUAGGACUAAGACAUGCUAGUCGAGCGCUUCCUAGCCAAUAUGGGAGCGCGGCACACAGCUCAGUAACACGUGGCUAACCUGCCCUUGGGACAAGAACAACCCCGGGAAACUGGGGCUAAUUCUUGAUAGGUGAAGAACUCUGGAAUGAGUCUUCGCCCAAAAGAGACUUGCAUUAUGCUUGUAGGUUUCGCCCAAGGAUGGGGCCGCGGCCGAUCAGGUUGUUGGUGAGGUAAUGGCUCACCAAGCCUUUUACCGGUGCGGGCCGUGGGAGCGGGAGCCCGGAGAUGGGCACUGAGACAAGGGCCCAGGCCCUACGGGGCGCAGCAGUCGCGAAAACUUUGCAAUAAGCGAAAGCUUGACAGGGCUAUCCCGAGUGCCAUCCGCUGAGGAAGGCUUUUACCCAGUCUAGAACGCUGGGGGAAUAAGGAGAGGGCAAGUCUGGUGUCAGCCGCCGCGGUAAUACCAGCUCUCCGAGUGGUGUGGAUGUUUAUUGGGCCUAAAGCAUCCGUAGCUGGCUAAGUUAGUCCCUUGUUAAAUCCACCGAAUUAAUCGUUGGAUUGCGGGGGAUACUGCUUGGCUAGGGGACGAGAGAGGCAGACGGUAUUUCCGGGGGUAGGGGUGAAAUCCUAUAAUCCCGGGAAGACCACCAGUGGCGAAGGCUGUCUGCUAGAACGCGCCCGACGGUG
rnacentral:rRNA from 1 species